UACAGCGGUCUCAAGCGUUGUUCGGAUUCAUUGGGCGUAAAGGGUGCGUAGGUGGCGGGGUAAGUCAGGUGUGAAAUUUCGGAGCUCAACUCCGAAACUGCAUUUGAUACUGCCUUGCUUGAGGACUGGAGAGGAGACUGGAAUUCACGGUGUAGCAGUGAAAUGCGUAGAUAUCGUGAGGAAGACCAGUGGCGAAGGCGGGUCUCUGGACAGAUCCUGACACUGAGGCACGAAGGCCAGGGGAGCAAACGGG
rnacentral:rRNA from 1 species